GACGAACGCUGGCGGCGUGCUUAACACAUGCAAGUCGAACGGAAAGGCCUCUUUCGGGGGGUACUCGAGUGGCGAACGGGUGAGUAACACGUGAGUAACCUGCCCUUGACUUUGGGAUAACUUCAGGAAACUGGGGCUAAUACCGGAUAGGAGCUCCUGCUGCAUGGUGGGGGUUGGAAAGUUUCGGCGGUUGGGGAUGGACUCGCGGCUUAUCAGCUUGUUGGUGGGGUAGUGGCUUACCAAGGCUUUGACGGGUAGCCGGCUUGAGAGGGUGACCGGCCACAUUGGGACUGAGAUACGGCCCAGACUCCUACGGGAGGCAGCAGUGGGGGAUAUUGCACAAUGGGUGGAAGCCUGAUGCAGCAACGCCGUGUGCGGGAUGACGGCCUUCGGGUUGUAAACCGCUUUCGCUCAUGACGAAGCUUUGUGUGACGGUAGUGGGUAAAGAAGCACCGGCUAACUACGUG
rnacentral:rRNA from 1 species